UGUGCGGGCCUUUGGGGAGCGUGGCAUCCUGCCCCGCUAGCGGAAGGAUCUGGAAUCUGCCCGGGGCCUGGGUCGCUCGGCGCUGGCUAUGGCUGGGUCACUGAGCGUUACCUUCCCCGGCUGUCGGUGGCUUCCUCAUCCCCACUCUACAGAGGAGGAAACUGAGGCUCCUGCCUCCCAGCACCGAGUCGUGGUUGUGGACGGCAGAGCCCGGGAGGGCAUCCGAGGCCUGGGGUGCGGGGACCGUAGCAGGCAGAGUUGGGAUGGUCCUGCCUCCCCAGCCUGAGGCCGGUGGGGCUCCAGGGGGGCACUGGGCUGGGGGCCGGGAGACCCCAGGGGCUCAGAAAAGAAGAGCUGCCACGGAGAGGUGGGGGAGCAUCUGCGGCUUGCCCGCGGCCCUCACGGCCUCAGCUUCCUCGUCUGUACAAUGGGGGCGAUAAGCCCCUGGUUCUGCGGCCAAAUCGGGCGCUUGCUCCCCAUGGGCGCCGCCCCCGUGGGCACGUGACCCACCUCCCCCACUUGCAGGGAUGUCCCCACGGCUCAGCUGGCCCGGUCCCCCCGGGGCCCCUCUGUGUGAUGAUGACUUACGAACGUGCUCCCCGUACGGCCCCGGGAUCCCUGCCGGGUCCCCUAAGGCCUUUACCCCCUUUACCCCCUUUACGCCUCUUGGAAGCUCUGGCUGGACUGUAGGGCCCUCGUGCGCGUCCCACCGAGGCCAAAAGGGAGCCGGGGCGCCGAACACCUGCGCCGAGACCCACACGGUUCCCGGCUCUGCCAUCUGACGACAAGGGGACAAGGCAGUGGGGCAGGAACGCGUCCAGGAAUAGAAAAGAAAGUCGACACCCCAGUGUGGGCGCCGGGGCUCCAGGGGCCAUUCCUGGGACAGUCCUGAGGAAAUCGGGGCCACGCUACCCUCAUGGCACCCCUGUUUCCCACCCCAGGCCUGGGAGGGCAGAGGAAAAGGGGGUUUUGAACCGUGCCCCAGAGUGCUCGGUCCUGGGGGCGGCUCCAGCCUUCCCUCCUGGAACCCCGCGAAUGGACCCUCUGGCCACAUGGGGGCUGCGGGGUGGGCAGGCAGCCCCGGGGGGCCACCAAGGAGGCAGGGCCCUCAGGCCUUCCAGAACGACCUCAUUUGCUCAGCCCAGGAGUUUGAUAAGAUGAUCCUACCGGCCCGGCCCACGGGGGAGGCAGCCCGGGCCAAGAGGAAGGGGGCAUUUCACGCCUGUCCACACACCGCGGGGUUCACAGCUGGACCCGGGUAACCUGGGGCACUCAGCCUCCUAACUGAGAUCAAUCCUUACACAACCACACAGUACGGAACCCUGCCUUGUUGAGCCCAAGACCCGCCGGGGGCUGAUGGCAAAGAAGUGACCAUCGACUCCAAUUUCCACCCGGAAAUUCCCGGAAACGCUGACCUUAUUCACCCCGAUCACAACCGUGUGCUGAGGAAACCAAAGCGGUUGGUCUGGAGUCAGAUCUGCUCCUUCCUGGCUGUGCAUCCUUGGGCAAGCUGCCUAACCUCUCUGAACCUGUUUCCUCGUCUGCCCAUAAGGCACGCCCGGGCUGCCUGCAAAGGCGAGUGAAGAGGACACCCGCCAUCGGAGAGGAUGCUGCUCCAACGGUGGCGUCUGGGCCAGUGGCGGCCAGCUCGCCGGCUGUUUGCCAGGAAUGCAGAAUCUCAGGCCCCACCAGAGACCAGCUGAAUCUCGUCUUUCAACAGUGUCCCCAGGAUGACUGGUGUGCACGGUUUUUCUGCUCAGAGAAGCCUGAGAAAUGUUGGGAAACACAAAGAGAAGCAUGCUUCCUUACUCCAGCACUCGUCCAAGUGAAUCAAGGAGCCACUGAUAACAGAAAUGGCUUCCUCAGGGAAAGUUGUAUUAUCUCACUGCAGAGAGAGAGAGAGAGAGAGAGAGAGAGAGAGAGAGAGAUGGUGUCGGGACUGGUUGAUUCAGCAACUCACCAUUGUCACUGACGACUUGGUUCUGUUUCUGUUUCUCCAUCUUCAGGCUAGCCCCCUCAUGGUGCACGAUGGCUGCUGUUGAGCCAGGCAUCAAGUCCCAAAGCCCAGGGGGCAGCAGAGCGAAUACCCUUUCCUCACGGCUAUGUGUAAAGGCAAGGCAAGCUUCCCACAGCCUCCGGACACACUCCCCCUCUUGCUGGCAUUUCUUGGGGACCUCUCCUAGGCCAAUCGUGCACAAGGGAGGCCCCGGGACCCCUGUGAUUGACCGAAAUCGUCACCGUCCACUGUGGGGCAGGGAUGGGACCGAGUCAGCACCCGGACAAAAUCAAGGUCCCGCCGGCAGGCAGGGGGGAUGGCUGACGAGGCAAACCCAGUGGGGCUGGUCGUGGUGGCUCCGGAGGUGCAGACACACCGUGCGGUCCCCCCGCCGGUGGGCGGAAGGCGCCCGGCCCCUGCCCGGAGGGCCGGCUCGUUGUGGGGGGCGGGUGCUGGAUGGGGUGGGGGCCCCGGCAUUUGCGCACUAAGUGGACCGGAGAGGGGAUUGCGUGAGAUUAGCGUUUUCCCCAAGCUGCAUGUUGGAAACGCGGUAUUUUAUUUACCUCCAUUAAGUACUUUUCUGAUACCAAAUGGAACACUCACUAGGGUGGCCGCGAAGGUCUCUCGGACCCCCGCUCUCCAAGGAAGGGGCCUGUCGCCCCAGUCUGGGGGGCCUCGGCUGUCUGCCCCUCCAGGAGUCCCUGCUGCGGGGCCACUUCUGGGCCAUGACCCUCCGGGCGCUCUCCUCAUCCGAUGACCCAGCGGUUUUCAACAGGGGGUCUUGCCCCCCAGGGGACAUUUGGACACAUUUCUGGUCGUCGCGGCUGGCAAGGCAGUGACGCUGGCAUCGGGUGGGUUGAGGUCAGGGCUGCUGGUGAGCACGCUGUGGUGCACAGACAUCCCCCCGAAGCACAGGGUGAUCCGGCCCCAGAUGUCAGUGGGGGCCGAGCUCCAGAUGCCCUGACGGCUGAUGACACCAGGUAUCAGACCCUGGCCGGCCCGGCCCCCCGUGGGACCCCCUCACAGAGCCCAUUCCAGCUGCAGAGCCCCCACAGGGGGCCCCCUCCUGCCCUCCCGCGUCCACAGACUGUGCAUCUCAACCGCCUUCUCCGAGCCUGCACCCCUGGGAAGGCAAACGGAGACAGUCGCUCUUCCAGAAAAUUCUAGCAAGGUCAGAGUCGGCUGUGCAAUCCGUAGGCAGCGAGAGCUGCGGAUCUCCGACUCCCGAGGUAACUACUGUUCGCCCGGGUGCACGUUCAUCCUGAGGUUUCGUGUUUUGUUUUUUUUCCCCGGGCAUCUGGUGGGCACCUGUUCUCUGUCCUGGCCAGCUUCCAAGUGCCCUGCUUCUGGUAACCACGCCCGGCCCUCCCCUGGGGACCCAUCUUCUAGGCUCAGGCCGGGAGGUCUGCCGCGACCUGACUCCUUGCCCGCCCCUCCCCCUAGAGAGGGUCAUGUGACCUAGGCCUGACUAAUCACCCUAGUCCCGCCUGCUGACCUCUGUGACGGGUGGAGCAGUGGGCGUAUGUUCUCAGCAAGGCCUGAGGAAUCCGUUGGAAGUCGCGAGAAAGAAGAAUACUUUCUGCUGUGGUUGCUCAGCUGGUGGAGCAGGAACCUGGAACUGCCUGGAGCCCCCACGUGGAGAGAGACUGCUUGAGAAUAAAGCUGGAACAGAAUCGGGCUGAGCAGAGAGAUGGGGAGCCCGAGGUGGAAUCGCGAAGACAGCGGGUCCUGGAUCAAGCCACACCUGAAGUCACACUCUUGGUUGUUUUCUUACAACAAUAAUUUCCUUUUUUUUUUUUUUUUUGUAACUGAGUGUCUGUUUAUGAGUUGAAUUGUGUUCCUUCCCCCCAAAAAGACAUGUUGAAGCCCUCACCCCCAGGAUCUCAGAAUGUGACUUUACUUGAGAAUGGAGUCUUUGCAUAGGUAAUCAGCGUAGGGCGCGGUUGUUAGGGUGGGCUCUUAUCCCGUCUGACUGGGGCCCCUAUAGAAAAGUGGAAUUUGGACACAGAGACAAACAUGCACGGAGGGACGAUAAUGCGAAGACACACGGGGACGAUGCUGGGCAUGCUGUGUGACUGGAAUGGUGUGUCUACAAGCCACGGAAUGCCUGUCAUUGCCGGCAAGCACCGAAGCUGGAAGAGGCAAGGGAGGAUUCUCCCCCUAGAGCCAUCAGAGGGAGCACGGCCUUGCUGCCACCUUGACUGUAGACUUCUGGCCUCCAGAUCUGUGAAUUGGGAGAGUUUACGAAGGGACAGUUGACAGAGGUGGGAGCAGGAUGUGUUUGGGAAAUCAGGAAGGAACGGCGCCGUGCCCAGGGCGUCUGGGUGGCUCAGUCAGUUAAGCGUCCGACUUGGGCUCAGGUCACGAUCUCACGGUUUGUGAGUUCCAGCCCCGCGUGGGGCUCUGCGCCGACAGGUCAGAGUCUGGAACCUGCUUCGGAUUCUGCACUCCCUCCUUCCCACUGUGCCCCUCCCCUGCUCGUGCUGUCUCGCUCUCUCAAAAACAAAAUGUUUAAAAAUAAAUAAGUCAAGAGAUAAAUAAAAAGAAGAACACAGCCCCUGUUAUGAUCACAGCGAGGCAGGAAGGGAGGUGGGGGAAAUACCCCAACCUCUCUCUCUCCUCCUGCCUGCCAGUCUUCCAUCGGUGCCUCCCGUUGGCUGAACCCAGCAGAGUGCAAGGGAGCCUGGGUAAUGUAGUCCCCAGGGUCGGCUCCCUGGUGCACAGAGCGGGGAGGGUCUGGAGAGGCAAUGAAAAGUACCCGGAGGGGCGCCUUGCUGGCUCGGUUGGUAGAGCAUGCCACUUGUGAGCUCCUGGUCACGAGUUCGAGCCCCAUGCUGAGAGUAGACCUUACUCGAAGAGAGGAAAAGAAAGAUCACCAGAAUACUUAAAACGAGGCUACGCAAAAGUAAAAUUUAAGGAAACUGUUCAAUCCUCCCGCUUCUCUCUCCCCCUGCCCUUGUGAUCUGUUCUGAUGCUCCUCACUGGUCAGUCUCACCCAGGGGCCAGAAGGGAGGAGGUCGGGUGAUGCAGGUCACAUGGGCCAGCCCCAGCAGGAACAGAGCAAAGAAGAAUAUAGCGCGAGAUCGUUACAAAGAUCCGGUGUCAUUUUUCGGCCGGGGGAACAGGAGAAGGUCAAGUGCUUUGCUUCGGGACCCUAAGCUAACCAACGGCAGAGCUGGGAUUCGAACCCAGGACCGUGUGGCUCCUGAAUCCCCGCUCUGCUCAUCCCACAGGAAGCCCAGCCACGUGAGCACGCAGCGCGUGUGCAGGGGCACUUGCUCUUUGCACGCCCACCCGGUGCGCCUCGUCCUGGGCGUGUGUUUCAGGAGGCGUUCUCUUUUUUCCGAUCUCUGUUACCACCAGCAAGUUUCAAAAGCAGCGAGAGGGAGAGAGGGAGGUGAAAUGACACUUACUAAACAGGAACCCUCUCCCACCAUCUCCGCGCUCACGGUGCCUCUGCGUCUAAGUAGGGGACGUGGCGUUCGGGGUGCGAACGUGAAAUCACUGUCCCCUCGGCGGGCAGGCGGGCGUGGGUGAGGCAGACGCCUGACUCCCGGGAAGCAGGGGCUCUUCCGUGGACUCGGGCGAGGCUGUCUGCUCCCGGGGGACGAUGCAAACGCCCGGCGCAAUGCACCCGCAGGGCCAUGUGCGCACCAGUGGGUCCUCCGGAACGCGGGAGGUACCACGGCCUCUUUCAUCAGCGUUAGUACAACUGAUCCUUGGACGUGAGCGAGUGGGGGGAAGGAUCCGAUGCAGGUGAGGACCGGCCACCUAUGAUUUCAUUUCAGCCUUGCAGCAACCAGGGAGCUCUCGCCCAGCGGAGCAAGAGAAUCUCCCUCAGUGGAGCGGGGGUCAAGGACAGACAGAAGCGAAACUCUGCACUGAGAGUCACGGGGACGGCAUCAGACCCGGGUGGAAACCUGGGGUUCUGGAGCCCAGGUGCCUGGGGUGGAGCCCCACCCCUGCAGUUCCUUUGCCUGAGGACAGGUGACUUGUCCCCUCUGUGCCUCGGAUUCAUCGUUUGUAAAGUGGGAGUGACCGUAGUACCCCUCUCCGGGAGUGACAAGCGUACCCUCUCUAGGGUUCAGGGAGUCGGUGCCCGGAAGGGGCCCGGGGCAGUGCCGGGCACGUGGUGGGCAGGCCAGCAGCAACUCGUUAUUUUUAAAUUCUGUCGCUCCAGCCUGGGAUGGGCCAUUUUCUUCUCUGUCCCACCUGCAGAACCUCCCUGGCAUUCUCCUCGGGCACAUCAGAGCAGGAAUGUUCGUGGAAUGAAUUAUUGAUUGACUUGGGCCGGAUGCUGUGUGAAAAGCAUUCUGAUCCAAAGGCCGGGAGGAGAAUAUUUAACCCUGAGGGGGCUGGAGGCCUCCCACUGGGAGGCAAGGGGGUGCCGGGACCCCCCAACCGUGCAGAGCUGGGAGCAAGGAACUGACGCCUCCCGCCCACAGCCAGUGAGGAGCUGAGGUCUGCUGUUCUAGGCUGGAUCGCGUACCCCCGAAUUCCUGUGUGGAACCCUUGAGCCCCAGUACCUUGGAAUGGGACUGGAUUUGGAAAUAAGGCCUUUAAAGGGAUGGUGAAGUUAAAAUAAGGCUGUUGAGGUGGCCCUCAUCCAACCUAACUUCUGUUCCUGCGAGAAGAGGAAGCGGUACGAGGGAUGCCGGUGCAGAAGAAAGGCCAUAUGAGGACACAGUGAGAAGACAGCCAUCUGCAAGCCAGGGAGGGAGGCCAGGAGAGAUCAGACCUGGUGGCCCUUGAUCCUGGACUUCCAGCCUCUAAUACCGUGAAACCCAAAAGUCCUGUCAUUUGAGCCACCCGGUCUGCGUUUGCUACGGCAGCCCGGGCCGACUGGGACACCUGCCAACGGCCAUUGAGCAGACCAUCUUAGAAGCAACUCCUCCAGCCCCGGUCAAGCCUUCGGAUGAGGCAACCCCAGCCAAGACAAGCCUCAGAUAACCCCAACCCUCGGAUAAGCCUCUCUCGAAUUCCUGACCCACAGAAACCACGUGAGAUUAAUACUUCUUGUUGGCUUAAAUGGGUAUUUUGCUCUUCGGCCACGGAAGGGGCCGUAUCUAGCUCCCAGGCUCGGUUUGGCCCCCACGGAGCAAGGUCCCUGACGGACAUAGAGACACAGCCUCUAGCUGUUACUUUUGCUUUUUAGUUCGGCAACUGUUUUCCGCUUGGCAUAUAGUUAAUGCUCAACAAAUACUUGUCGAUGGAUGCGUAAUAAACCCUGAGGUCUCCCGGGCAGAUGGGUACUUAAUCAGAGCUCUUUUUUUUUUCUCCCCCAGGACAAUUUUUUUUAAUGUUUAUUUGUUUUUUGAGAG